UACAUAUAUGACUCAAUCUUGAUUGCAGAAAGUCAGAAUGAUAGGUUUGUUUAUCAAGUUCAUAUAAGUUUAAAACCUAGGUAACCAGGUCAAAUUUAAUAACAACCACUCUUUGAUCACAUGUAUAACUCCUUUUUGUUUAAACUUUGAAUGUUUAUGGUGACGAUGUGAAGGCCAUAUUGAAAACUGGGUAAUGUGUCAAAAACUAGUUCAACUGAUCAUGUCUUCAACAAUUGGUGUUCGUAAACGCGGGCGAGUUCAAUCAAGUGAUGAAACUUGAUGAGAAUGUUGAUGUGUUUAAAUCUGAGUCAUGUGGGUCCAAAAACUAGCUCAUCCGGAAAAUUCUUAAUAAUAAUUGGUACCAUUAUUUAGGGCACGCUGGAUUCAAUCUUAAUGAACCUUGCCUGGAAUGUUUAUCUUGACAAUAUCUAGAGCGAUAUCUAAUCUGGGUCACGUUGGUUGAGAAAAGAACAAGAACAUUCGGUUUCUAAGUCAAAUCAUAAAAAAAAAUACUCAUCAAGUUAGGUUAUGUAACAUGUGAGGUCAUGCUUAUUAAUAUUGAAAAUAACGUUUACACAUUCACUCACAUAAGACUCCAAUUUUAUUCAUUAUAGUUAAACUUACAUGUGAGUAUAAUGUGUGUGUUAUUUUAAUUUAAGGUUUGAAUGGCUUUAUGCCCUAUGCGACAUAUAGCAGUCGCACUGAUCGUAUUCACAUCUGUCCGUUUUAAAAUGCAUGUCACAGCCAUAACUUUGCAAUAAAUUGAAGGAUAUAAAAAACAAACAUUGUCACAGAUGCAAUUCAUUACAACACACUGUAAUUUUGUCAUUCAUCAUUGGGACAUGACAUUUCAUGUGUAAAACAUGUGUUGCAAUUAGAGGUCGAAUUUGGUUAUAAAACAGCUUAUUUGGACUGUAACUUUAUCAUUCAUCAUUGGGACAUGACAUUUCAUGUAUUAAACAUGUGUUGCAAUUAGAGGUCGAAUUUGGUUAUAAAACAGCUUUUCCUGGCUGUACAUUUCAUUCUUCAUUUGGUUUCAAGACAUCUAACCACACAUGAAAAUCAUAAGGAGACAGUAAUGUGUGUAUCCCCUGUCUCAUUACCUCAAAGGUUUAGAUAACAAAAGAUGUCAAAAGUUAAACUUGGCAAUAUACAGCAUGUCUUUGACACACACGUUGUUUUUAGACUUAAGUGACAUUAAGCGGUAUCAUUGCCCUGUGGACACGUCUUGUCGGUCCUAUUGUUCUCUUACUAAAUUAAUAAUUUCUCUAAAGUAAAGUCUUUACUAUUUGAUGCCCCGUGAAUCAGGUGAGCGCUUAUGGGCCAUCAUGGCCUUCUCACAUUUAUUUUAAGAUUGAACUAACUAAAUAAUAAUUCAUUAUUUGCUGAGUUAUGCCUUAAGUUUAUUCUUUGAUAUGCAACCGUUUUAUUCUUCGAGGGAUAAUUUAGAGGUCAUAUGAUGUUUGACUAUGGCAUUCUAUGUUUGAAUAUGGCAUACUUAUUGAUAAUUUAAUAAACAAAUAAGCAAUGUU